rnacentral:rRNA from 1 species
UACGAAGGGGGCUAGCGUUGCUCGGAAUUACUGGGCGUAAAGCGUGCGCAGGCGGUGAUGUAAGACAGAUGUGAAAUCCCCGGGCUCAACCUGGGAACUGCAUUUGUGACUGCAUCACUGGAGUGCGGCAGAGGGGGAUGGAAUUCCGCGUGUAGCAGUGAAAUGCGUAGAUAUGCGGAGGAACACCGAUGGCGAAGGCAAUCCCCUGGGCCUGCACUGACGCUCAUGCACGAAAGCGUGGGGAGCAAACAGG